rnacentral:rRNA from 1 species
GAUCCUGGCUCAGGAUGAACGCUAGCUACAGUCUUAACACAUGCAAGUCGAGGGGCAGCAUGGUCUUAGCUUGCUAAGGCCGAUGGCGACCGGCGCACGGGUGAGUAACGCGUAUCCAACCCGCCUUACACUCUUGGACAGCCUUCUGAAAAGGGAGAUUAAUACAAGAUGUUAUCAUGAGUAAGCAUUUUCGCAUGAUUAAAGGUUUACCGGUGUAAGAUGGGGAUGCGUUCCAUUAG